rnacentral:rRNA from 1 species
GACGAACGCUGGCGGCGUGCUUAACACAUGCAAGUCGAACGGAAAGGCCCUGCUUUUGUGGGGUGCUCGAGGGGCGAACGGGUGAGUAACACGUGAGUAACCUGCCCUUGACUUUGGGAUAACUUCAGGAAACUGGGGCUAAUACCGGAUAGGAGCUCCUGCUGCAUGGUGGGGGUUGGAAAGUUUCGGCGGGUGGGGAUGGACUGGCGGCUGAUCAGCUUGUUGGUGGGGUAGUGGCUUACCAAGGCUGUGGCGGGUAGCCGGCCGGAGAGGGUGACCGGCCACAUUGGGACUGAGAUACGGCCCAGACUCCUACGGGAGGCAGCAGUGGGGAAUAUUGCACAAUGGGCGGACGCCUGAUGCAGCAACGCCGCGUGCGGGAUGACGGCCUUCGGGUUGUAAACCGCUUUCGCCUGUGACGAAGCGUGAGUGACGGUACUGGGUAAAGAAGCACCGGCUAACUACGUG